rnacentral:rRNA from 1 species
AUUGAACGCUGGCGGCAGGCCUAACACAUGCAAGUCGAGCGGAGCGGCGGACGGGUACGUGAUGCCUAGGUAUCUGCCUGGUCGUGGGGGAUAACGUCCGGUAACGGGAGCUAAUACCGCAUACUAUCACAGGAGCCUCGGGCGGAGUAGCUAGUUGGUGGGGUAAAGGCCUACCAAGGCGACGAUCCGUAACCGGUCUGAGAGGAUGAUCAGUCACACUGGAACUGAGACACGGUCCAGACUCCUACGGGAGGCAGCAGUGGGGAAUAUGGGACAAUGGGCGAAAGCCUGAUCCAGCCAUGCCGCGUGUGUGAAGAAGGUCUUCGGAUUGUAAAGCACUUUAAGUUGGGAGGCGGUACCAACAGAAUAAGCACCGGCUAACUUCGUGCCAGCAGCCGCGGUAAUUC